AUGUGUUUAGUUUAUAAAAAUAGUGAUUUGUCUAAUCACAGAUGGUAGGUACACCAGCAUAUU
rnacentral:tRNA from 1 species